AAUCUUUGCAAUAGGCGAAAGCCUGACAAGGUUACUCUGAGUGAUCUCCGCUAAGGAAAUCUUUUGGCACCUUGGUGCAGAAUAAGGGGUGGCAAGCUGGCGUCAGCCGCCGCGGUAAUACCAGCACCCCGAGUGGUCGGGACGUUUAUUGGGCCUAAAGCAUCCGUAGCCGGUUCUACAAGUCCUCCGUUAAAUCCACCUGCUUAACAGAUGGGCUGCGGAAGAUACUAUAGAGCUAGGAGGCGGGAGAGGCAAGCGGUACUCGAUGGGUAGGGUAAAAUCCGUUGAUCCAUUGAAGACCACCAGUGGCGAAGGCGGCUUGCCAGAACGCCUCGACGGUGAGGG
rnacentral:rRNA from 1 species